AACACAUGGGCGUGCAAGACCCCACCAACAAACCUGCAAUCUUGUGAUCAUGGGUCAUGCCGCUGCUCCACGGCCGCGCCCCGGAUGUGGGCCAGAGAAAUCACGCCCAGUUGUAGUCGGUGACAGAAGUGGCUGGAGGGCUGUAAAUCUGGUGAUGGACAUGGUGUCAAAGGAUGCUGUGAAUGAGGCGCUCCUGCAGCUUCAGUAACUACAGCUUCACUUCUGAACCCAAAGCUGAAGACACGCUUCUAUUAUGAACAUUUCUUUAAAAAUUCACAGUCAAAAAUCCUUCCAUCUGCCAUUGGAAGAAGGGGUCCACCCCCCACCAGUUUGGUGGUGCCGAAAGUAAGCAGUCUAGGGGUCAAAGGGCAUGGCACAGCCUCAUCAUGUGAGAGAUCCUCUUCUCUGCAUGAACUUUAAAGUCUGGGAAGCUUUUGCAGUGGUAGCAGUGAUUUCUUUCCUUGAAUGUCAUUAUAACACUGAGAACUCAACCCUGGUUCAGGACAUCUUUGAGAGCAAAAAUAUUUUUCAUAUUUUGUUUUUACAUAAAUCCUGAUUCAAGAAAGAGCAGGUUACAUCAAUGUUUAAUUUGCAUUUUAGCAAAUAUAUAUCUAUAUGUAUAGAAUUAAUGGAUUAAUUUAAAGGAGAUUUUUUUCACUUUAUUUGUUAACAGAUAUCUUGCUGACAGAUUCCAGAUGUUUUUCUACUCUAAUUGGUAAACUAGAUUAUUCUAGUAAGGAACUACAUAGGGAAUGGACACAACAUUCUUCUGAAAAAGUGAACGUAUAUAUAUAUGGCGAUUUGUGUUACGUGAAGAGGAGAAACAAAUUUGGACAAUUAUUCUUUUAGUUGGGUCAAUUGGUAGUAAAGUUGGUGGUAACAUGUCUAAAGGAGUUUAUUCGUCUGCAUCAUGACUCUAUACUAUUUUUAGCUCCACAUAACUGCAGGCAUAGAACUGAGCGUAAUUAUAGCCCCUGCAGAUGAUCUCGUCCCUCUCCGGUGAUGAACAGACUGUCUGGCAUGAGGCUCACUUGAACUCAGGUGAACUAACACAAAGCCUGAUUCAACCGAAAAUGGGUCUCUGUUUGGCCAAGAGAACCCAGACGUGGUUCACCACAAGUGUGAAUGAAGCCGAACAAUCCAACAAACCCAAGACCGAAAGGGGUGGACAUGUGGAGUCCAGUUUGUGGACAGUCACUUGACCUUCCUGCACUGUUUAAAAGCUUAUACUGUCACGGUGCCUCCGUCAGCUGCCUCCUCCUCCCUGCUCUCUGAUUGGAACCAGCUGCCCUUCAUCACUUCAUCAUCCUGCAGACCUUCUUAAGGGGAUCCACACCAGUAUCCAGCGCCAGUCCGUUAAUCUCACUCCGGUCAUCUCUCCACUGGACACGCUGGUUCCUCGCCCCGUUCCUGUUUCACCGUCCUCGGUGUCUCCACUCAUGCCAAGCGGUUAUCGCCGUCCUCACCGCUGACUGUCUGCGCUGUCCUCAGCGUUCCACCUCGACGCAGACUGUCUACGCCGACCUCGGCGCUCCCCAUCGUCCAAACUGCUUACACCGUUCUCGGAGCUCCACCUUGCUCCCAGCCGUUCUCUGGAUCCACGACCUUCACCCCUUUUCUGAUUAAACCUCCUGACUAUA